GAGGUUGUGGCUCAGCGGUGGAGCACUUGCCUAGCAUGUGCAAGGCCCUGGGUUCCAUCCUCAGCACCACA
rnacentral:tRNA from 1 species